rnacentral:rRNA from 1 species
UAGAGUUUGAUCAUGGCUCAGAUUGAACGCUGGCGGCAGGCCUAACACAUGCAAGUCGAGCGGUAGAGAGAAGCUUGCUUCUCUUGAGAGCGGCGGACGGGUGAGUAAUGCCUAGGAAUCUGCCUGGUAGUGGGGGAUAACGUUCGGAAACGGACGCUAAUACCGCAUACGUCCUACGGGAGAAAGCAGGGGACCUUCGGGCCUUGCGCUAUCAGAUGAGCCUAGGUCGGAUUAGCUAGUUGGUGGGGUAAUGGCUCACCAAGGCGACGAUCCGUAACUGGUCUGAGAGGAUGAUCAGUCACACUGGAACUGAGACACGGUCCAGACUCCUACGGGAGGCAGCAGUGGGGAAUAUUGGACAAUGGGCGAAAGCCUGAUCCAGCCAUGCCGCGUGUGUGAAGAAGGUCUUCGGAUUGUAAAGCACUUUAAGUUGGGAGGAAGGGUUGUAGAUUAAUACUCUGCAAUUUUGACGUUACCGACAGAAUAAGCACCGGCUAACUCUGUGCCAGCAGCCGCGGUAAUACAGAGGGUGCAAGCGUUAAUCGGAAUUACUGGGCGUAAAGCGCGCGUAGGUGGUUUGUUAAGUUGGAUGUGAAAUCCCCGGGCUCAACCUGGGAACUGCAUUCAAAACUGACUGACUAGAGUAUGGUAGAGGGUGGUGGAAUUUCCUGUGUAGCGGUGAAAUGCGUAGAUAUAGGAAGGAACACCAGUGGCGAAGGCGACCACCUGGACUAAUACUGACACUGAGG